GUUCCAAAAGAGAUUAAAAUUUUGAAAUGAUAUAAUGCGGAACGUAACCGUUCGUGAUCAGCCGAAAGAGAGUCGCCGCUCUGGGUCCUCUGGAGACCUGAGAGAGCAGCUGAGGAAACGAUUGAAAGGAGGAAAGAAGGAGUCCAAAAGUGGGAUGGGUAGGAGUGAGUCCGGAGAAGAUCUUCGAUCUAAACUGGAGAAGAAGAAGGUUGAUGUAAAACCGGACCGGAGCAGAUGGGAUGAAGAUAAUAAAUCUUCUACAGAGGAGUACUCCAGGGACUCCAAGAAGCACAGGGACAAAGAGAACAAAAAGUCCGAGAAAAAAGACGAGUAUAAACGAGAAGCUAGACGCUCCGAGUCCAGGGAAAGACGGCGAAAAAGCCGAGAUCCUUCUAGGGAUAAAUAUGAGAGAUCUCAUCAUAGUCCUGUAUCCAGCUCCGCUAGCAGAAAACCGUUGAAAGAGAAGAUGUCAGAGUCAGAGAAAAGGGAUCGGUCACGAGACAGGUCAGAGAGAAAAAGAAAACUCUCUCCUAAAGUAAGUCCCAAAAAAGCGAAACAAAGAAAAUCUCGUUCCGUGUCUUCCGUAGAGAUCACACCAAAGAAGAAGAAGUCUGCAGUAGAUUCCGAGGAAAAGGUUAAAAAGAAGAAAAAGAAGAAAACCAAAGACAAAAAACUUUCAAAGAAAAAGUUUAAAAGUGAGGAUACUCCAACCGAAGAGUUGACGGAGAAGAUAAACGCAGAGACCGACUCCCAAGAUCCAAAAGGCCGAAAAUCCCGUGUAGACAGCGGUAUAUCGACUGGCUCUGUUCUCAACGGAGAAACUCUAGAACAAAAACUUGUAUCAGUAUCUAGGAGAGCAGAGAGUAAGGUAUCAGACUCUCCUCUAUCUGGAACUAGUCUCAGUCUCUCUCCCAGUGUAGCAAACCAGAGCAGUCCUACUCAGGAGAUGGAAAACCUUGUGAAAGAAAACGCCGAGAACCUGGCUAAGAUACCUAAGGUGGCAGAAGAAUCUGAACAAGUGGAACGUAAGGAGAAGAAAAAGGUUAAAAAACAUGAAGAAAAAAAUCAGGUAGGUUCUGGAUCUCCAGUGAAAAAAGAAAACGAGGAGAAAAAAGGAAAACAUAAGCACGGUGUUGAGUCUAAAGAAAGGAACGAGGAUAAACGAGAUCACUCCCGCAGCAACAAAGAUUACAGCAGGUCGCCUGUUAGGAAGGAGAAACAUAGAGAUCGACGAGACAGAACACCUAGUCGUAAAAGAGAAAGAACACCAUCCAAACAAAGGGAGAGGACUUCCAAUAGGAGAAGGGAAAGAACUCCCAUAAGAAGAGAAAGAACUCCCAUUAGAAGAGAAAGAACUCCUAUUAGAAGAGACAGAACUCCUAUUAGAGACAGAACACCUAUUAGAGACAGAACACCUAUAAAAGACGGAACACCUUCCAGAAGAGAUAGAACACCUUCCAGAAGAGACAGAACACCUUCCAGAAGAGACGGAACACCUUCCAGAAGAGACAGACCACCUUACAGAAGAGAACGAACCCCCUCUAGGAGAGAAAGAACGCCUUCAAAACGAGAGAGACGUGAAUUAUCUCUAACAGAAGCAGUUACUACUCCAGGUAUCUCUCCUAACAAGCAAGAAACUUCGGACAUGAAAGCUGACAAUGAAACCACCAAACAAUCAGAAACUGAGAUUGAUAAGAUAAAAAACACUGAAGAAUCUGCAACACAACCAAUCAAUGAAUCUGCUGAGAAUGCAUCACAAAUCGCGAAAGAAGAAGCUGUAUCCGAAACCAAUUCUCGUAUUGAAGAUAGACUAAUAGAGAUUGCUUCUGAGACUGCUGGCAAGACUGAGAAAACUCCUAUAAAGGAACGGAGACACACUGUAGAUGAGUUCGAUCCCAGGAGGAAUGGAUGGGAUAGAAGAGACUCAAGAGAACGCCUUGACUACAGAUCGGUGAAAUCAAGAUCCCCACAGGGGUCCCGAACUCGAGAUGUGGACUCCAGACACAGACGUCGAUCUCGAGACCGCAGAAGAGAUCUUGAUCGUCGCAGUCCUAGACAGCUUAGAGAUCGUUCUAGAGAUUGGAGAGAUAGAGAGAGGUACAGUAGAGAGAGAGAAUACGGAGAGAGAAGAUACGAGAGCCGUGAUUACAACAGAAGAUACAGCACUGAUACCAGAGAAACCGGAACCAGAGCUAGCUCGUGGGAAGAUAAGGUUCAAGAGUUCAUUUCUAAGAUCGGCGUGACUUCAAACCUACGUGAGCUACCACGAGAUAAAAGAGAACCAUUGGCAGAUUUUGAUCCAUCCCGACCCCCGCCUCUAAACCUUGUCCCUGAGCAUCAGAGCAACUAUAUAGAUGCCGCUUUCCCUACAGUUGAUUAUCCCUCAGAACAUACUCCUCAGAUCCCUCAUUUCUUCGAACCAUCCAUAGCUCGUGGUCCGCAGUAUUCUCCGGACCCUGAGAUACAUACAGGGAUCAGUGUUGAUGAGUCUCUGGAGCGGAGUUCAAGGGAGAGGGACCUAAAACCCUUGUCGAACAAGGAGAAAAAGAGGAUGGAGAUUGCUCAGAAGGAUAUUUGGAAAUAUGUCGCUGGAUGUUUGAUGCAGGAUAGAAUAUUUCUCAAGAGAAAGAAGAAACGGGCGGAUUCGGAGGAGGAAGAUUUAAAGGAGAAAGCUGAGAAGUGUACUGUUCGUAUAGCUCUAAAACUAGAGAAGGCCGGGUUCAAGGAAUCCAGGCUCUGGAAGAUGCUGAGAGACAACGAGGCAGGUGUGGAGGGGUUCGUGGACGAGAUGAAGGUGGAGGUGAUGAAUGAUAAUAUUGAGGUGGAUUAUGAUUCAAAGAAGAUCAAGGAUAGGAUGGAUGCUGAUCUAUUGAAGGACGGAUCCUUUUUCAGGUAUAUUGGUCAGUUUAUCCAGGACAGUAUAACCGGUAAACACAGCCGGGAUUACCAUCAAUCUGUAUCCGCUAGCCACCUCCAUGGACUAGAAGGUUUGUCCUCGAACACCCUGCAGAACAUCCUCCACACAGCCUUCCAACUCCCAGCUCCAGUAACUGCUCAAGAUCCCAGGAUUCAGAACAAGGGAGAGUCAAGUCUGGAUUUUGCGAUCAGAUCGUUCAGCGAUCUUCAGAAGUUUAUUUGUGUUCAUCUCGUGCAGACUCUAAACGUGGAUAUUGAGAAAGCGCGGGAGAUUUCAGCGCUGUAUGUUGAAUCCUUGGCUAAAGCAGACUUUAAUAUUCUGACCCUAGAGGACGCUGUUAAGAACUAUACCCCACCUCCUCCUGAGUUUGAAGGAGAACCAGAACAAACAGUUUAUGGAUAUCUCCUGGAGAUAAUGCGUGGAGUUCCUUUCGACAGAUAUCCACGACAGCUGACAGACGGAGAUCUGGAUACACAUCAGACAAACAUUGUUCGGAUAUCCUUGGAUUAUUUUAAUCAGGUUCCUAAACCCAGAACCCCCAGCCCUAAACUUUCUAUUCGAGCCGUCGGGGAAGAAGAAGACGGGUUUAUCGGACCUAUGCCGCAUAUUGAAACCGUUCCCGUCGGCGGUAAUACUGAGUCACAACUUCCUCAACGGCGUUAUGUUCUAAUGUCGGUGGCUGUUGACACCGUGUCUGUUGACGGACGUCUGGUAGUUUGGCAGAUUUCUGUCCAUAUCCCAGGCCUACCGGAGGAGGAAGACCCCGACUACGAGUGUCUGAUGGUUCCCAUCGCACUGAUGGAUAAACCUCAAGUACUCUCAGAGCUAGGGUUUACUUUUGACGCGGAGAGGAACAAGUACUAUCAUCAGGGUACAGAGUUCGGUAGGAGGAAGGCAGAGAUGGAGGAGAGUAGUAUGGACAAGUUUGCUAACUAUCUGGACGAGAUAAGGAGUGGGAUGCGAGGAGCAGGAAACAACAAUGGUUUAGUUCUACUCUUUGAGACAGGAGAGGAUCUCAGCCUGGUUCAACAACUCUUCGCUAAACACAGUCAUGAUGUGUUCUAUGAUGUAGUGAAGGGUGUGAGUUGUCUGGAUAACUACCUGCGUGUAUCUCGACCUGGUCGACCGGCCUCCUACACCUGGCCAUCAUAUCAAUUCAAGGUGGGAGAAGGUGCGAAGUGGACUGCAACCAUCACUAACUCCGGCAACGUGAGCAGACUGGACGCGGUUACUAAGCCUGAGUGUAUCUACAAGAUUUGCGAGGGUAUACUCGGCUCUCCACCCAGCUUCAUCAAUUUCAUCAAAUGGUUCUGCUAUCCUAUCCUCCACCCGGAGAUAUCAAGGAUGACGGCAAGCCUUGAACACACCCUGGAGCUUCUACCACUACAGAACUUUAUCGAUCGUCAGCUGUUUACUAACAGGGUUCAAGUAACGUUAGAGGGUGUAUUCGCUGCACGAAGCGAAGUAGAGGCGUCCCGGCCUCAUAGUGCUUGCGCUCGUCAGACGAUUCGUCGGCUGGUCUCCCUGGGAUUUAAUCAGGAUGUUCUAAAGAAGAGUUUCCAAGUGGAUCCUAACUACGAUAUACCUACAACAGUUUUUCUUCAGGAUAUGACUGAGGUUCAGAAACUACGGCUUCACGAGCAAACAGAUCAAAUUCGGCAGAUUAUUAAACAGUUCUUUGGCCGACAUUAAACAGUUCUGGCCAACAUUAAACAGUUCUGGCCAACAUUAAACAGUUCUUUGGCCGACAUUAUAAAGUUCUAUGUCCAACAUAAAAUAGUUCUGGCCAACAUUAAAACAUUCAGCAAAAAGUUAUUUAACUUAGAAACCAUUUAAACCUUGUAAAUAUAUCCUUGCCAUGUCGUACAUUUUAACCGGAAGUUCCAAGUUUGUGUGAACUUAAUUUUUCAAUUUGUGUACACUGUACAUAUGCUUAUGCAAAUUUAUUUGUAAUGUAAACAUUUCCUUGUAUGUUGCUGUGCAUUUCUCAGAGUUGAAAAUAUAGUCAUUUAUUAUUGAAAA
rnacentral:misc_RNA from 1 species